AACUGGUUUCUUUUCAACCAACAUCCUCUGACAAUGUGUGAAGACCUUCCGUUUUAUUCUCAGAACAGUGAAAGAUUUUAAUUCAUCUUUCCAAUGGACAUAGAAGAACAGAAAAGAACACAGUACAGCUCCAGUGAACCUCAUCAUUUCUGAGCACCCAGAGAAAAUCUGAAAGCUGAGUACAUGAGAGGGUGGCAUCAUCUGCAUUUCAGUGGCCUGCCUUCAGUAUGAAAGCUAUCUUCUUAUCUCUCUUUUUUGUACCCUUACAGGAACAGAAGCUGACACAAGCCAUUUUUUGGAGGGUUGUGUGUUGGAUUGAGGGGUGAUUUGCCAUCUGCCAUCAGCCUUUAUUUUGCAUAUCAAUAAAAAUAAUAAUAAUAAACUAAUUUCAGGCAUAUAUGAUACAGUUAAUGUGGAAGGCCUAUUGUUAGAGGAAAAAACCAGUAUAUUCUUAUCAGUAGCUUUAAACUGCUAUUCAUCAUUUCUAAAGGGCAAUUAUUUGGAAUCUAUUAAACUGGAAUUCAUAAUACCCCUGCAUACUGAAUUUUAAAUAGAAAUCUGUAUUUAGAUGAAGGAAUACAUUAGUAUAAAUAAUUAGAGCAGUGAAAAUCCAUGACUUCAUUUUUCACUCACAUUUUCUUUUGCACAGGAUAUGAAGUACCAAGGAUCUGAGCAUUUAAAGGAAAUUUCCCAAGUUUCCUUUUGGGAGAGAGAUUUGGAUAACAAUAUGUUCAACUCUGUAAUCACUUUCUUUCAAUUACUGCAAACUUCUCCUAAGAAACUAAAUUGUUAAGGAAAAAUGUUUCAGUAAGCAAACAUAAGAUAUAUAGCAAAGUAGACAGACAAUCAGACAAGCCAUAGAUGGAUGUGUCUGUAUUUAGCUGUUGGGCAGUCUAGAGGUAAAGGACUUGAUUCCAAAAUGUUUGUUGAGGAUAGCUAGUCAACUAAUCAAAGGACAGGGGAAAGGCAUUUUGUGUCAAAUGUCUUGUAAUUGUUGUUGGAUUUCAAUGUGCUGGUUAUUCAAAGUUGUUUUUACAAAGCUGGAUAUCAGUGAGUAAAAGUAACAGAUUAAAAAAUGUGAUAGAAAGUGACAAAAGGUCUAGAGAAUAUAAACUGUUUAACAACUCAGUAAAUGUUCAGAAUCUCUCAUUAGGAGGUUCACAAUCAAGUAAAGCAAGUGAAAAUCCAAGACUCGAGAGACACUAUCAUAUACUGCACGUAUUUUCACAGUAAAUGUGGUUUGAGAUGUAGAAGAGCGCACAUAGCAUAUGGAUAUCUUGCAUCUGCCUUGAAAUGGUGUGAACAUCAAUCAUUCCAGCAAUCUCACAGUUAAACAUCACUUCUUACAGGAAGCUGUUCAGCAUAUGAGUACAUAAACAUAUGUGUAUGCACACACGUACCCACACACCUUCAUACCAAGAAAUUUCCCAGCAAGAGAAUUAGUCCACUGAAUUUGAUUUACAGUGAACAACUAACCAACAGCAUGAGAAUAUGAUCUCAGUAUCUGCUGCUCUAUAAGAUCCUGCUAUUUAUUAAUUUAUAGCCACAAUAACACAUCUGUUUGGAGGUAAAGAUCAUGCUUCAGCCUGAUGCUUUGUUGCUUGUUACUCUGUUUCUGCAGAAGCAGAAAUUACGGAUUAAUAGGGAGAUAUUAAAUGACUUCCCUGCACUACCCUCUGCAGCACUGUGGAGAGGAUGCCCUGGGUGGGCAUAAUGGUCACCAGAACUCCCACACAGAGGUCAGGAAGACUGCUAGCCCCUUGGAGUGUUGUAGUGUAGAGGGUGGAAUGGUUUGUAGCUGGGGAAAUACAUUAAUUAAUUAAUUAAUUAAUUAAAAAAAAUCAGGCAGUUAAUUUUUGACAAGUAGUUCUAUUGCCUUGUUAAUAUAGCUUGUUAUUAUGGUUUUAGAGAUGGAGAUACUUAUUUGUCACUCUGUGGUUUUGGGUUGGAUAGAAAAUUCUUCACCAUAUUGAACAACACUGCAUUUUUUGUUGUGAAGAACUUUCCUGAACUGCUUCUCAUUGCUCUGGUCUCUGAUCUUCCUUGCUGUAGGAAGCAGAAGGCCAUUGAUUAAUUCCUAGGUACAGAAACAUGUUAGCAGUCUUGCAAAAGCACUCAUAAACUAGACCUCAAAUAAACUACAUUUCACAAGGUCAGGCUUUGUACAGUUAAGCUAUAUUUGGCCACCUGAUAUCCUGUUUAUGAUACAGUUAUUGAUCCAUUACAGAUGACUACAUGACAAAUUAAUCUAAAUUGAGACUUGUGUACACACGAAACUUAGAUUGAUUUUCUGUCUUCAGCACCUCAAAAAGUAUUUUCUGAGCUGCAUGAUCUAGUAACUAUAGUUUGACAGCACUGAACAUUACAGUUUUAUAAUAAUAAUGAGCAGAUGUGCAUUAAUAGUCAUGGUAAAUUCAAAAUUAUGCCACUAUGGUUUAACUGCAAUUAAAAAAAAUUAAGUUUAAAUUCAUAGUAUAGCAUAUGCUACAUACUUAAGAGGAAUCACACAGCCGCCGUGGGCCUGUGAUUCCUUUUUUCUUAUGCUAUUCCAUGUCAGGACAGACUCAGUACAAGAGAUGUCAGAUAAUUGGGAAAGUCAGACAUAUUGUUUGGAUGUCCAUGUCUAACAUAAUCCUGAUGCAAAAUCUGUAGAUGGAAAAACAUGUAGAAGUUUCCAGCAUGGCUUCUUUAGGUUUCUUGAAAGAAGGCUUAGUGGGAAUUCUUUAGUUUAAAAGAUUUACAUAGAAACCAAGUAACAAAAGAUGGGAUAGGGUAAUGAAUUUUUUUGUGAGUGAAAAUCUAAGAGGGUGGAAGUUCUUGCCUUGCACUAUCAAAAUAAUUGAGUAUGUGUUCAACCUGAGAGCAGAAGAACAAUAUUCUUUUUAAAUGAAACUAUUGAUGUGGUUCAAAGUUAGGCAUGUGCAUAAGAAGCAUGUGCUGAAUUGGACCCAGUUUUCAUCCCUUUACAAAAUCAAUCCUGGCAAGAGUGGCUUGAGAUCAGGUCAAUAGCAUUAGUAGCUCUCAACCUCUAUUAGGAAACUUAGAUACAGAACGGGCAGAUUUCAGAAGAAUUCAUGUUCAUAUUUUAAGCACAUGUUUGAAACACAUCUAUAGAGCCAUGUUCCCCAUUAAUUGUCAUCUUGUUAAGUUUAAUAUAUUAAUGACUUCUCUGUCUUCUGCAGUAUUCAGCACAUCAGAAAGAAUAUCACUACAGAACUGUCUACGCUGUCAGCAGUACAAGUUACAGAAUGAAUUACUACUGAAUCUCAAUUUAGGGAUCAGGAGAGGAUGUGCUGAGUAAGUGAAAACACAGAAGCAAAGCGACAUGCCAUGGCUUUGUGGAUAUGUGGAUACAAGCAAUUACAGCUUAAUAGAUGUGGGUAAGCUGGUGAACAGAUAGAGGUUCUGCACUUCUUCAUGGUUUGCCCAAAGAUCAACAUUCUAAAUAUACCUUAUCUAAGACAACAAAUAAUGAAAUUGUCAAGUGAACUUGAACAUCAGAAUAAAUUUGAGAAAUCUCCUUAUAUCAAAAAGAAGCUUCAGAAAAAAAAUAGCAAGACAAGUUGUAGUUAAGUGCUGAAGAAUGAAAGGAUUGCUUUCCAGCAUUUUUAUUCCAGCUUCAGCAUAUUUUAUUUUAUAUAUAUAUAAAUAUAUAUACACACAUAAUUACAUACAUAUAUACACACACACACAUAUAUCUAUGCAGUGUUUUUCCCUCAAGGAAUAAGCCAUCUUAUUUAUGUCAUAGCUGAGAGGUGUGAAUUUCCUUCGCGCUUUAUCCAGCUUCAUAGAUGAAUCCCUGUUGGCAGAUCACACUGCACAGAAGACUGGUGAGUGACAGAGGCCACUGAUUACUAAUGGCCACAUCAGGAGGAAUUGCACUGUGAGGGAAGAUACCCACUUCCUCCUCAUCCCUAAUUUUGGGGUCUUGUUUCUAGAGAGUCCAUUGGAAGGAUUCACAUGGGGGACAGAGAAAUAAAAUACUAUCCACGUUCAUAAAAAGGUGUUUUCCUAAGCAACCACACUUCCCUCCCCCUCUAAACUCAAGGAGUGAGAAUAAAGCCUCCUGACAGGCUAUUCUCUUACUGUGCCAUGUUUCAAAGCCUUAUAAGGAGAAGAAACUGUGGCAUAAUUAAUACAUUGGAUAGCUGAAGACAUUACUGAAUCGUUAAACUGCAGCAUUUAACUGCAGUUAAAGUAUUCUUGGCCCCUAGGUCUUUACCAUUGUAUAAUCAUGAUCAGCUGUUUUAGAUAAACUAUGGAGAAAGUAAGAUAAAUCUUCCCAAAAUUUACAGUGAAGAAUAAAAUUCAGCAUAUAGCUUUCCCCUGCUCAUGGAAUUGAAUCAAUCAAUACUGCAUUAUGCUAUUGCUGGAGUGCAUAGUAGCAAUCACUGUUUGACAGUAAGGGUAUUUUGCACAGCAGUGAAGGUUAUCUAUAUAAUUUGUUUUAAACCUUUGGGUUCCCUAUGUUAGUCCUUUGGGAGAACUGCAGGAAACCUUGCUCUGUACAUUUUCUGUUUGCUGAAAAUUGUAACAUAGUCAUCAGAAAAAGAAAAAGAGAGAAAGAGAGAAAGAGAGAAAGAGAGAAAGAGAGAAAGAAAGAAAGAAAGAAAGAAAGAAAGAAAGAAAGAAAGAAAGAAAGAAAGAAAGAAAGAAAGAAAGAAAGAAAGAAAGAAAGAAAGAAGGAAAGAAAGAAAGAAAGAAAGAAAGAAAGAAAGAAAGAAAGAAAGAAAGAAAGAAAGAAAGAAAGAAAAGAAAAAAAAAUCAAAAGGAUAACAAAGCUUUGCUAAUAGGAAUGAUCCAUACACCCAGACAGAUGCGUUUUCCUGUGGACAGUGGAAAGAAUGCAGAUGUAAUUGGAACCCAUUGGAACCCAUUUUUGCCCAGGAGAUCUCAGAUGGAAGUCUGGAAGUCCUGACUGAAAAAAAUGAAGUGGAAUUCAGAGCAAUUUUUUGCCACUUCUUUCCAAUUCAGUUUUCAGCACGACUACAAAGGGACUUCUUGCUUCAGGCCAGGCUGGAUGAUUUGUGAAGCCACGGAAGUAAAAAUAAAGUAAAGCUGUCCUUCAAGAAACUGAAUAAACUGUUUUGGUUGAGUGUGUGGUUUUCUAAAUACAUGCAGAAAGAUGUAUACCCCAAACAUGUAUUUAGCAGAAUGGAUUUUGUUAAUGUCAAUAGCUAAAUACCAUAUUGGUUUGUUUUAUCAGCAUGCACAAUACUUACUUUUUAAAUGAUUCCAUCACUGUAUGUGGUUUAUGUAAAGCAAGUAAACUGAGAUUUCAUGUAAUUACAGUAAUUAAAAAGAGAGGUGGACAGGGCAGACUAUUUGUUAUACCAUGUAUGAUAAGAAGAUAGAGGCACCAUUCAAAGAGUUAUGACUUGUUAGUGAGUAGUAGACUCUUGAAAUUGUCAAGAAGUGUUGUUUGAAAAAAACAAAUGAAGAGAAGCAGAUAAAAUCAUCUAUUAUUAACUAAUGUAAGCAUAUGAAUUUCAGCGUGCAGCAUGCUUGCUACCGAUAGUCAUGGUGCAUUGUUACAGUGAAUUAAUAACAUUGUCACAAUGGAUAAUAUCACAUUUUCUGGCUAUACAAGUGAAAGGAAAACUAUCAGAAUUUCACAAUAACAGAGAAGCUUUGAAAUUAAAAUAAUAAUAAUAAAAGCCUACAAACUCACCACCAUUAAGUUACAUUCUUGAGUGGUGGGCAGUAUAACCUUGGCCUACUAUAGUAAAUGAAAGAGCACCAACCUGUUUGUAGGAGAUACGUGUUUUGCAUGCAUAUCUUAGUUGAUUUUAAUCUUUCUGAUUGAAUUUAGGGUGAAUAUUAAAAGCAAACUCAUAAUUUUUUGCACUUGAUAUUUCCAGUGGAAGGAGCACUGCCUAGUACAAUAUCUUCUAAUAAAAUAAAAUAAAAAUUCAUAAUUAUAAAUAAAAUAAAAAUUCAUAGUUGACUUCAGCUUCUCAACAGUGUCUAUGAAAUUUACUCCUAUUUGGUUUGUCUUUCUUCAUCACUGCCAAAAUAGAUCCUUUGUAUCUGUAUCUACAAUAAUGUACACCAUCUCCCUCAUAGGUACUGAACAUCCUAGACACCUCCAAAUCAAUCAUAAAUUAGUGAGGCAAAGUUAGUUAAUUUAAGUGAGUUUAAGCAAUGAUAACUUAAUGGAGGGACUUGUAAACCACAGCAGAAAUGUAAUGUUUAUGGAUUUUUUACAUAAAUGGAAGAAAAACAGGAUUUUUCAAUUUCUUCUGGGAAAAAAAAACAGCAACAACAACCAUGAAGUGAAAAUGAGAACAUGGGAAGGGAGCAGUGCAGUGCUGAUUUGUCCUCUCACAGCCACAGCACUUAUUUAGAUGCAUCAAGACUCACACGUAUUGCACAUUACAUGCGCUUCUGUCGCUUGCUGAGUAAAAUGCAGUGAUUGUCGAUAUUAGUAUUUCAACCUGUCUAAUGGCAAACCCCAAAAAAACCAAAACUCUGGAUGAAGGAAGAGUGUUAAACAAAAAAUGGUCAGAUUAGUAAUUUUUUUUUCAAGACAAAUAAUAUGGCACUCUGCUUAAUUUGCAAGGAAAUGAUGUCAGAUUUCAAACAAUACCAUUUGAAAAGAUAUUAAGUGCAGAAACAUGCUGACAAAUUCAAUGAAUAUCAAAGAAUGCCUCAUAAAGACAAAACAGUGGAACUGAAAACAAAGUCUAUCACCUCAACGCAAGCUUUUUUAAAAAGUUAAAUGGACUGUUGUAAAAGCUAGUGACAUGGUAACAAAUCUGAUGGCAAAAAAUCAAAACCAUUUACUGAUGGUGAGUUUAUUAAGCAGUGAAAGAAAAGCAUGACAGAUAUAAUGUGUCCUCAUAAAAAAUGGACUUUUCUAAUAUCAGUUUGUCUCACCAGACUGUAGCUAGGUGAACUUAAGAAACAGGAAAAUCUAUUGAGAGAAAUUCGGUGAUAGACAAAAGUACGGAUGCUACAGAUAUUGCUCAACUUGCCAUUUUCAUUAGAGGUAUUGGUAAUGAACAUAACGUCACUGAAGAAAUGGCUUCUGUGGUUCUGCUGAAAGACACAACUAAAUCUCCUUAUUUGUUUGAAGCAGUAGAAAAAUAUGUUAAAGCCAUUUUCUUUAACCUUUGUCAACAUAUCUGGUGUAGCUACUGAUGGUGCUCCAUGGAUGGUCAGUAAAAAAGAGGGACUUUAUAAAAUUAAUAGAAGAUGAUGCAAUUGCUGCUUGCGACUCACAUUUGAUGAAAUAUCAAUAUUAUACAUCAAGAAAAUUUAUUUGUGAAAGCUGUAAAAAUGGAUGAUGUCUUGAAAAUCAUCAUUAAAGCCGUGAAUUUCAUAAAGUCCAAGGGAUUGAACGAUCAUCAGUUCCAGGAGUUCCUUAAAUGUAUGGGUAUUGGUUAUGAGGACAUCUACUUUUCUGAAGGAAAGUGGCUAAGCCAGGGUAAAAUGCUAAAAAGACUUUACUAUUUCUGAAAUGAAAUAAAGUCCUUUAUGGAAUUAAAAGGAAAAUUUGUGCCAUAAGGUGAAGAUAAAAAAAUGGCACACAGAUUUAGCAUUUUUUUGUGGAUAUGACUGUUCAUUUAAAUGAGCUAAACAUGUAUCUUCAAGGUGAAAAUAAACUUACCUGUGCUAUGUUUCAAACCAUAACAGCAUUUGAAAUGAAAUGUAAAUUAUGGCAAGCUCAAGUUAUGGCAAAUAAUUUAAUGCAUUUUGAUGUGUUGGCUAAACGCAGCCCUGUGCUGUGCAAAAAACAGCAAAAAAUACUCAGCCUUGCUUUCAGUUUUGAUAAAGGAAUUUAAGAACAGGUUUGAAGAUUUCCAAAAAAGUCAUUAAUUUUUUUGUAUAUUUGCAACCUUGUUUUCAGUUGACAUAAGUACAUUAGCUGUGAAUUUUCAAGUAUGAUGUAUGGAGUUGCAAGGAGACAUUCAGCUCAAAGAAAAAUUUGGUCAUGUCUCUUUACUGGUCUGUUAUAACAGAGAAAAAUGUUCAUUGCUUGACAAUCAUGCCUUGUUCAUGUCAUCACUUUUUGGCGGUAUGUACAUUUGUGAACAGUUGUUGUCAAGGAUGAAGCAUGGGAAGAGUAACAUUUCAUCAAAAAUAUCUGACAAACACCUUGAGAGCUCACUAACAAUUGCAACCGCUUUCAUUGAACUAAACAUUGAUGCAUUAGUUUCACAAAAACAGGAUCAAAUAUCCUACUAGUUUUAUAUUUGUGUUGCUCUCUGUUUAUAUUUUAAUAAAAAAAAAUUGCAUAAAAAAUAAAUUUUAUUACCUAUACACAUUAAAUU
ensembl:lncRNA